AUUGAACGCUGGCGGCAGGCCUAACACAUGCAAGUCGAGCGGACGAAGGGAGCUUGCUCUUGGAUUCGGCGGCGGACGGGUGAGUAAUGCCUAGGAAUCUGCCUGGUCGUGGGGGAUAACGUCCGGAAACGGGAGCUAAUACCGCAUACGUCCUGAGGGAGAAAGUGGGGGAUCUUCGGACCUCAAGCUACUAGAUGAGCCUAGGUCAGAUUAGCUAGUUGGUGGGGUAAAGGCCUACCAAGGCGACGAUCCGUAACUGGUCUGAGAGGCUGAUCAGUCACACUGGAACUGAGACACGGUCCAGACUCCUACGGGAGGCAGCAGUGGGGAAUAUUGGACAAUGGGCGAAAGCCUGAUCCAGCCAUGCCGCGUGUGUGAAGAAGGUCUUCGGAUUGUAAAGCACUUUAAGUUGGGAGGAAGAGCAGUAAGUUAAUACCUUGCUGUUUUGACGUUACCAACAGAAUAAGCACCGGCUAACUUCGUG
rnacentral:rRNA from 1 species